rnacentral:rRNA from 1 species
GGCGAACGGGUGAGCAACACGUGGGUGAUCUGCCCUGCACUCUGGGAUAAGCCUGGGAAACUGGGUCUAAUACCGGAUAGGACCAUGCUUUAGUGUGUGUGGUGGAAAGUUUUUCGGUGUAGGAUGAGCCCGCGGCCUAUCAGCUUGUUGGUGGGGUAAUGGCCUACCAAGGCGGCGACGGGUAGCCGGACUGAGAGGUUGGUCGGCCACAUUGGGACUGAGAUACGGCCCAG